UAGAAAUAGGUGCACCACAUACGUCAGAAUUGCUGUUAUUUGAAACUUGAAGUAUUAAACCCUCGAUUAAUUAAAUCAAUAGUUAAGUAAAUAAUUAGUCCUAUAUCCGGGAUUUAAAUAACAAAUGCCCUGCUAAAAGAAGGAUUGAUCCGACGACAAGAGUUUCAAGAUAGACAACCAAGCAUCCCGUGCAAUCGUGCAAUCAUAGUGUCAAUACAGAAGGAAUCGGCAAGAAAGUCCUAGCCCGGUAAAUAAUAAUAUAUCAGCUCUGAAAAGAAUUUAUAGAUGCAGGACGCAGCAGAAACCAGAAGGCUUAUUAGCUGAGCGAUGGGGUGCACCUAGCCUACACCCAAAUUUAACCAUGCGUGUACUUGCAUAUUUACGCAUGCGCGUGUACAACACACACAUAAUCAUAAUCACAUAAUCAUCAAUCAGGUAAUGAGAACUGCGGACAGCUAUCGUACUUCAAAAGGGACAAUGAUGAUAUGCCAACAUACAAUCAUGAAGAAGCAGAGAACCAGAGGACAGAACAAAUAAUAAGCGGAACGAGCAACCAAAUCAUCAAGAGAAUAAAGGGAGAGGGAACUUAACGUAUUAACCAUAGACAUCCAUCGCCCGGCUCUGCAGAAUGGAUAUUCACCAAUCCAGCCAUCAACAUUUAUCUCAAAAUUUAGAUAAGAUAAAGAGUAAGUGAAUGAAAUAAAUAACAUAACCUCCAUCCCCAGAAAGAAGAUCCGUUUGUUAAAAGAGAAGAGAAUGGAGUGCUACAGAAUCAAGAAGCCAGGAAUGGUGUGCGUAAUAGUGCACCAUAGCAAUGCCUCAGAGUAAGUGAAGAGGGGAGGUCGCGUAGAUCACCGUCCCAUAAUUUAAGCGAGGAUCUCAAGACCAAAACCAAAAGCUGUCCGAACAUACUGGUAAGAGAAAAGGCAUCGUCAAAGGGUAGGGGAUAGGUAAUUAAGCAAAUACUAGAGCAAAUUAAAUUGUGGCUUUCAUCAAAAGAGCCAGGGGGUUAACAUAACUGCUACAAGAAGUGUAUUGGUGGUAAAUAUAACAGCAGUGAGGAUAAGUUUACAGAAUACGGGUGCAAGCUAUAGGCCUUAAAGGGUGCAUUAAUAUCAACCCUAAACCAUAUCAUAGCCCCCGCCAAUCCUCAGCAACCAUACUACACGGCCAAGAAGAAAGGGAGGCAACGGUCCGCCACCGCAGGUGCGCGGUCCCCGGAAGCGGUCCGCCCACCGGCCACGAAGAGGGCCACAAGGCAUGUCAUACAACAACCAAUUAAUGGACAGCAGCCCCACCCGUGCGCCAAUCUGAGCCAUCGAGCGGCCCGCGACAACCCAAGCCAUGAUAAUGGCCUGGAGCAGCGGACAGAAAUCCCCCGUGCACCAGAAUAAUACCAAGAAGUAGCAUGACAACAGAAC